rnacentral:rRNA from 1 species
CCUACGGGAGGCUGCAGUGGGGAAUAUUGGACAAUGGGGGGAACCCUUAUCCAGCCAUGCCGCGUGUGUGAAGAAGGCCCUCGGGUUGUAAAGCACUUUCAGUGAGGAAGAACGCCUGGUGGUUAAUACCCAUCAGGAAAGACAUCACCCACAGAAGAAGCACCGGCUAACUCCGUGCCAGCAGCCGCGGUAAUACGGAGGGUGCGAGCGUUAAUCGGAAUUACUGGGCGUAAAGCGCGCGUAGGUGGCUUGAUAAGCCGGUUGUGAAAGCCCCGGGCUCAACCUGGGAACGGCAUCCGGAACUGUCAAGCUAGAGUGCAGGAGAGGAAGGUAGAAUUCCCGGUGUAGCGGUGAAAUGCGUAGAGAUCGGGAGGAAUACCAGUGGCGAAGGCGGCCUUCUGGACUGACACUGACACUGAGGUGCGAAAGCGUGGGUAGCAAACAGGAUUAGAUACCCCUGUAGUC